ACCUUGGUAGUUCAGUGAUAGAAUUCUUGCCCUCCAUGCAGGAGAUCUGGGUUCAAUUCCUGAUCAAUGCA
rnacentral:tRNA from 1 species